CGGAAGGAGCAGUGGAGGGAUAAGAAGAGAGAAUGCCGGAAUGAGUAGCGAGAGAAAGGUGGGAAUCCUUUCGGCCGAAUAUCUAAGGUUUCCAGAGUAAAGCUGAUCUGCUCUGGGUAAGUCGGGGCCUAAGCACAGGUCGCAAGACGUAAGCGAUGGAUAACAGGUUUAGAUUCCUGUACCACGCAUUAUCAGAACUGUAGGGACGCAUGUGGAAAGCACGGGCCGGGAAUGGAAAGACCGGUACAAGCGGGGUAGGUGUACAAUAGGCAAAUCCGUUGUAUAAUCCGAAGACGUGAUGUGGAGCGAAAUAAAGUAGUGAAGCGUGUGAGCCAUGUGCCGAGAAAAGCUGCUAUUGUGUAAUGCGUGCCCGUACCGUAAACCGACACAGGUGGAUGAGGAGAGAAUCCUAAGGCCGGCGGAAGAAGCAUUGUUAAGGAAUUCGGCAAAAUGACCCCGUAACUUCGGGAGAAGGGGUGCCUGCGAGAGCAGGCCGCAGAGAAUAGGCUCAAGCAACUGUUUAGCAAAAACACAGGUCUAUGCGAAACCGAAAGGUGAAGUAUAUGGGCUGACGCCUGCCCGGUGCUGGAAGGUUAAGAGGAGAGGUUAGCGCAAGCGAAGCUUUGAAUUUAAGCCCCAGUAAACGGCGGCCGUAACUAUAACGGUCCUAAGGUAGCGAAAUUCCUUGUCGGGUAAGUUCCGACCCGCACGAAAGGCGUAAUGAUUUGAGCACUGUCUCGACAAUGCAUCCGGUGAAAUUGAAGUACCAGUGAAGAUGCUGGUUACCCGCGCCAGGACGGAAAGACCCCAUGGAGCUUUACUCCAGUUUGAUACUGGGAUUCGGUACUGCAUGUACAGGAUAGGUGGGAGACGAAGAAGGAUGGACGCCAGUCUGUCCGGAGUCGCUGUUGGGAUACCACCCCUGUAGUACUGGGUUUCUAACCAGUUGCCAUAAACUGGCAAUGGGACAAUGUCAGGCGGGGAGUUUGACUGGGGCGGUCGCCUCCGAAAGGGUAUCGGAGGCGCUCAAAGGUUCCCUCAGAAUGGUUGGAAACCAUUUGAAGAGUGCAAAGGCAGAAGGGAGCUUGACUGCGACACCGACGGGUGGAGCAGGUACGAAAG
rnacentral:rRNA from 1 species